rnacentral:rRNA from 1 species
UACGUAGGGUGCAAGCGUUAAUCGGAAUUACUGGGCGUAAAGCGUACGCAGGCGGCUUUGCAAGACAGGUGUGAAAUCCCCGGGCCUAACCUGGGAAUUGCAUUUGAGACUGCAUAGCUAGGGUGCGGAAGAGGGAAGCGGAAUUUCCGGUGUAGCGGUGAAAUGCGUAGAUAUCGGAAGGAACAUCAGUGGCGAAAGCGGCUUCCUGGUCCAGCACCGACGUUCAGGCACGAAAGCGUGGGGAGCAAACAGG